rnacentral:rRNA from 1 species
CUGCGGAGGGAUCAUUGCUGGAACGCGCUUCGGCGCACCCAGAAACCCUUUGUGAACUUAUACCUAUCUGUUGCCUCGGCGCAGGCCGGCUUCUUCACUGAAGCCCCCUGGAAACAGGGAGCAGCCCGCCGGCGGCCAACUAAACUCUUGUUUCUAUAGUGAAUCUCUGAGUAAAAAACAUAAAUGAAUCAAAACUUUCAACAACGGAUCUCUUGGUUCUGGCAUCGAUGAAGAACGCAGCGAAAUGCGAUAAGUAAUGUGAAUUGCAGAAUUCAGUGAAUCAUCGAAUCUUUGAACGCACAUUGCGCCCUCUGGUAUUCCGGAGGGCAUGCCUGUUCGAGCGUCAUUUCAACCCUCAAGCCUGGCUUGGUGAUGGGGCACUACUUCCUCACGGGAGUAGGCCCUGAAAUUCAGUGGCGAGCUCGCCAGGACCCCGAGCGUAGUAGUUAUAUCUCGCUUUGGAAGGCCCUGGCGGUGCCCUGCCGUUAAACCCCCAACUUCUGAAAAUUUGACCUCGGAUCAGGUAGGAAUACCCGCUGAACUUAAGCAUAUCAAUAAG